GGAUAGAUGGCUGAGUGGUUUAAAGUAUCAGUCUUGAAAACUGAAGUAUAUUUUUAUACCGUGGGUUCAAAUCCCACUCUAUCCU
rnacentral:tRNA from 1 species